rnacentral:rRNA from 1 species
UACAGCGACCAUAUCACGUUGGAAACACCGGUUCUCGUCCGAUCACCGAAGUUAAGCAACGUCGGGCCCCGUUGGUACCUGCAUGAGUGACCGACUGGGAAUACCGGGUGUUCCGGAC